UACGUAGGGGGCGAGCGUUGUCCGGAAUUAUUGGGCGUAAAGAGCGUGUAGGCUGUUCGGUAAGUCUGCCGUGAAAACCUGAGGCUCAACCUCGGGCGUGCGGUGGAUACUGCCGGGCUAGAGGACGGUAGAGGCGAGUGGAAUUCCCGGUGUAGCGGUGAAAUGCGCAGAUAUCGGGAGGAACACCGGUGGCGAAGGCGGUUCUCUGGGCCUGUACUGACGCUGAGGAGCGAAAGCGUGGGGAGCGAACAGG
rnacentral:rRNA from 1 species